AUUGAACGCUGGCGGCAUGCUUUACACAUGCAAGUCGAACGGCAGCGGGGACUUCGGUCCGCCGGCGAGUGGCGAACGGGUGAGUAAUGCAUCGGAACGUGCCUAUCAGUGGGGGAUAACGCUUCGAAAGGAGUGCUAAUACCGCAUAUUCUCCGAGGAGGAAAGCAGGGGACCUUCGGGCCUUGCGCUGAUAGAGCGGCCGAUGUCGGAUUAGCUAGUUGGUGAGGUAAAGGCUCACCAAGGCGACGAUCCGUAGCGGGUCUGAGAGGAUGAUCCGCCACACUGGGACUGAGACACGGCCCAGACUCCUACGGGAGGCAGCAGUGGGGAAUUUUGGACAAUGGGCGAAAGCCUGAUCCAGCCAUGCCGCGUGAGUGAAGAAGGCCUUCGGGUUGUAAAGCUCUUUUGUCCGGGAGGAAAUCCUGGCCUCUAAUACAGGUCGGGGAUGACAGUACUGGAAGAAUAAGCACCGGCUAACUACGUGCCAGCCGCCGCGGUAACAC
rnacentral:rRNA from 1 species